CUCUUGGGAAGUCCUCGUGUUGCAUCCC
rnacentral:rRNA from 1 species